AAACAUGGCUCCUUGACUUUUAAUAAUGAGGAGUCGGACCUGCCCAGUGAAUUUUCAACGGCCGCGGUACUCUGACCGUGCAAAGGUAGCAUAAUCAUUUGCCUUAUAAUUGAAGGCUAGUAUGAAUGGUUUGACAAGAAUGAAGCUGUCUCUUUAUAAUUUAGUAGAAUUUUAUUUUUAGGUGAAGAAGCCUAAGUAAAAUUAAAAGACAAGAAGACCCUAUCGAGCUUAAAAAAAGUUAAUAGAAUUAAGCUAAUCGAUGUUUAUAAAAGAUUGUCUAUUAAAUAUUUUAGUUGGGGCGACUGAGGAACAUAAGAAGCUUCCUUUAAAUAAAUUAAUUAAAAUCAGACUAGAAUUGAUCCAAAAUUAUUUUGAUUAAAGAAAUUAGUUACCGUAGGGAUAACAGCAUUAUCUUUUUUAAGAGCUCAUAUCGAAAAAAAGGUUUGUGACCUCGAUGUUGGACCAGAAUAUCCUAAAGGUGCAGCAGUCUUUAAGGGUUGGUCUGUUCGACCAUUAAAAUUCUACGUGA
rnacentral:rRNA from 1 species